CCUACGGGAGGCAGCAGUGAGGAAUAUUGGUCAAUGGACGCAAGUCUGAACCAGCCAUGCCGCGUGCAGGAAGACGGCUCUAUGAGUUGUAAACUGCUUUUGUACGAGGGUAAACGCAGAUACGCGUAUCUGUCUGAAAGUAUCGUAAGAAUAAGGAUCGGCUAACUCCGUGCCAGCAGCCGCGGUAAUACGGAGGAUUCAAGCGUUAUCCGGAUUUAUUGGGGUUAAAGGGUGCGUAGGCGGUCGGAUAAGUUAGCGGUGAAAUCCCGAGGCUCAACCUCGGACUUGCCGUUGAUACUGUUCGUCUAGAGAGGAGGAGAGGUAGGCGGAAUGUAUGGUGUAGCGGUGAAAUGCAUAGAGAUCAUACAGAACACCGAUUGCGAAGGCAGCAUACC
rnacentral:rRNA from 1 species